rnacentral:rRNA from 1 species
CCUACGGGUGGCAGCAGUGAGGAAUAUUGGUCAAUGGCCGGAAGGCUGAACCAGCCAUGCCGCGUGAAGGUCAGUGCCCUAUGGGCGUUAAACUUCUUUUGUGCGGGAGCAAUAAUGGUCACGUGUGGCCAGACGAGAGUACCGUACGAAUAAGCAUCGGCUAACUCCGUGCCAGCAGCCGCGGUAAUAAGGGGGAUGCAAGCGUUACCCGGAUUUAUUGGGUUUAAAGGGUGCGUAGGGUGUGAGGUAAGUCAGCGGGGAAAUGCCCCCGCUCACCGGGGUGAAGUGCCUUUGAUACUGGCUGGCUGGAGUGCGAAUGCCGUAGGAGGAAUGUGUGGUGUAGCGGUGAAAUGCGUAGAUAUCAGGAAGAACACCGGUGGCGAAGGCGGCCUGCUGGACUGCAACUGACGUUGAGGCCCGAAAGCGUGGGGAGCGAACAGGAUUAGAUACCCGUGUAGUC